ACGAAGGGUGCAAGCGUUACUCGGAAUUACUGGGCGUAAAGCGUGCGUAGGUGGUUUGUUAAGUCUGAUGUGAAAGCCCUGGGCUCAACCUGGGAAUGGCACUUGAUACUGGCGGGCUGGAGUGUGGCAGAGGGGAGUGGAAUUCCAGGUGUAGCAGUGAAAUGCGUAGAGAUGAGGAGGAACACCCGUGGCGAAGGCGACUGCCUGGGCCGAUACUGACGCUGAGGCACGAAAGCGUGGGGAGCAAACAG
rnacentral:rRNA from 1 species